CUUAAUAGAUCAGAAGUAACAGUUUAUCAACGAGAUGAAUUAAAGAGCACAAAAGUCUUACGUAACAUAUGUUUAUAACAUUAACCUGGAUACCUUGCUCCACUGCUCUGUAAUGCAAAUUGUGUUGUCCUGUAAGGACUUUAAUAUUUAUAUGUGUGCUUUAAAUAUUUUUGAUAAGUAUUCCUCUAUAAAAAUUUAAAGUUUAUAAUUACUUUAUCUACUUAAUUUGUAAAAAUAUAUGUUUCGUUUUAUGCGAUGUCACUUCCGGUUUUGCUACUUCCGGGUUCGCCACUUCCGGUUAGCGCUCAGUGCUCAAUCUUGCAAUGAAACCGGCAUGGCGUGCUCUUUAUAGUAUCCAGCGCAUCCACUAAAAACAUCAUAGAGGCAAUGCCGUAAGUUCAUUAAUACGAUAUCACACACGUUAAAUGUAAAAGAGAGAGUGACAGUAAAGGGUAAAUCUUACUACGACUCUCUCUUCAUUGGCUACGGUUUAACUCUGUGUUUAGUCAGCGUUCCAACACACUGCACGAGAACACUACACAAAUUCACCUGGUUCAGUUCAUCAGUAGAUUGCUUACACUAAAUUACAUCUAGGCAUGAAUGAGUGUAUGAUUACCUGUGUUGUGCCCUGUGAUGGACUGGUAUCCAAUCCAAUGUAUUGCCUGCCAGUGUUCCCAGGGUCGGACCUGGAUACAGAACUACCUAGACCAAGAAAACUUCCUCAAGCAUCAGUGAAGAAACACAGUGAUGAAUGAAGCACACAGAAAGAGCCCAGGUGACAUUUUUUAAGCUUAAAUGAAAGUAUAGUGAUAAAAUUGCAAUAGACCUCAUGCAAACGAGCAUGUGAUGUUUUUUGUUUUUUGGCAAAUUUGAUUUUUGGCAGUAUUCUUACAAACUCUAAUUUAAAAAAAAAGAAGGGGCACUAUCCUGCCUCUGUAUGUAAGAUUUUGCAUUAACAACACAUACUAAAUAUUUCAAUUAUGCAUAUAUUUGUCACGGAUACGCCAGCUUCUCACGACACUUUCUUCAGAUCUCAAUCACCGGAGUUCUGAUAAUCAUCACCUGGCGUCACUCAACACUAAUUGCUCACAGACUAUUUAAGCCACGCUCUCGCCUUUAUUCACCGUCCAGUCUCUUAUGCUAUGCUUACCAACUCGACUCUCUCAUUCUUCUUCUCUGUAGCGUUUCCAGAUCCUGUUUUGCAUGUUACCAGAUUCAACUCCUUCUCGAGCGUGUGUUUAUCAGAGCACGGGCAAAGCAUCCUUCACCACGUCUCCAAGCUUUGCAGCUUUACCUCAGACCUGAACUAUCAAUAAACACUGGUUUUGAUUUCA